AACGAACGCUGGCGGCGCGCCUAAUACAUGCAAGUCGAGCGAGAAGACGUAGCAAUACGUUUGUAAAGCGGCGAACGGGUGAGGAAUACAUGGGUAACCUACCCUCGAGUGGGGAAUAACUAGCCGAAAGGUUAGGCUAAUACCCGCGUACGCUCCUUGGACUCCGGUUCAGGGAGGAAAGCGAGUACCCGUGGGUAUCGCGCUCUUGGAUGGGCUCAUGUCCUAUCAGCUUGUUGGUGAGGAACGGCUCACCAAGGCUUCGACGGGUAGCUGGUCUGAGAGGACGAUCAGGCCACACUGGCACUGCGACACGGGCCAGACUCCGUACGGG
rnacentral:rRNA from 1 species